GACAUAGGUGGCAAACGUUAUCCGGAAUUAUUGGGCGUAAAGGAUGCGUAGAUGGUUCAAUAAGUUACUGGUGGGAAAUCGAGGCUCAACCUCGUGGAAGUCAGUAAUACUGUUGAACUUGAGUGCAGGAGAGGUUAACGGAACUUUAUGUGGAGCGGUAAAAUGCGUAGAUAUAUGAAAGAACAUCAAUAUGGCGAAGGCAGUUAACUAUUCUGUUACUGACGUUUGAGGCAAUGAAAGCGUGGGGAGCAAACGG
rnacentral:rRNA from 1 species